CCUACUUUCGUACUUUCGUGCCUAACCUACGUACACACGCACUUUACCGUAUGUCUGGUAUUAUGUGUUUAUUUUGUAUACAUAUUCGCAUCGACGAUUCUCUAUCUGGAGAAUGGAUUUACAGGAACUAAAAAUUUCACGUUCAAGAAUUAUUAACCCUGAUUAAAACAAAAACCUAAGAAAUCGUUUCACGGUCUAGAGGUUAUACGUCGAGGAAGGAAUUACCAGUAAAGACCCGAAGGAAAGGAAUGAAAGAUAUAUCAGAAUAGGAUUCAUAUUUACAAUAAAAUUAUCACGAAAUGAAAGUAAAGAAAAGACACUAAACCUAUGUCAAGAUAGGAAGAAUCGUACACAGGUAUAAUGAUAUUGUGAAACGACACAGUUAGACCAAAUGCAACUACAAAGCGUGCAAGUGUAUCACCAUGUGCAUUAUGACAAUGCUUUCCUAUCGAUGUUUACUCGACGAUAACAUUGCUGGGUCUUACAAAUGCGAUUCUACACCAUGGCGUACGUGACCGAUAUGUCGAAGGCGUGCCGUCUGGGACCACAGAAGCUGCAACGGCAUAUACUAAGAAGACGUACACUGAGAACCACAGUUCCGGAAUUUAUCAGGUAAGAUAGUACCCACUUCCAGGAGACUCGAUGCAUGUUAUGUGGAUGAGAAUACAAACUCCAGGGAGUGUACGCGUAUGCUCCUAACUGGUGCUCCUAACUGCGCUUAAAAGUUUUACGUUCUUUUUACAAUGAGUUUUAGCACGAAAUGUAAAUUCAUUUCCUUUUUUCUUAAAAUUCUACUCGAGAUAGAUAACAAUUUUAAAGUUUCGUAAUACGUAUAUGGGAAUUGAGAAAUUUUCGAUCUAAAUCUCAUUUCGAAUUCCAUUAAUUUUUUUUUUCCAUCUUGAAAUCUAAUUCUUGUCUCGAUAAAUCGUUACGAUCGAUGUUCAACUAUUAAACGAUCAAUAGAAAUUAUCGAACAUAAUUCGGUCAGACAAACCAGUAAACCGUUACAAACCGUUAUGUACAAACUUUUUACGUUUGUUUCUUUGUCGGGACGGAAAAUUAGGUUUAUCGUACGGAUGAAUUAUAACAAACGGUGAUCAUGGUAACGUUAACAUUAUCGUUAAAGUAGUUAUGGAUAGUAAGAUCUUUAAAGCGAAGUUCUAGUUUGCGGUCAAGCAAUCUCCAUACCAGACCACCGUUUCUGUAUCACGAUAGAGGAACACUUCUAUGGAUUCAGCUAAUCGAGUUGGCAACUAUUGUGUAAGCACACACGUACACAUAAUCAUGUUACCGGCAGGCAGUCGAACCCGUUGUCGUCGUCCAAAACGACUAUAUGACUAGUAGAAUGCUAUAGUACUUUUAUUACACGUACGAUGUAUGCUACGUAUGAUGUAUUUUAAAAUUGAAUCAUGCACUAAUGGGAAAAACGCUUGAUUAGAGACCUAAAUUACAUCACUAUAAUAAUCACUAUACCGAUAUUCAUUCGUCAUGAUGAAUCACGGUGAAUCAAGAUUUGGACUCACUAAUUUUCUCUUUGAUUAAUCACCGGUAGCUACCGGUCGCAGAAAUAUGGACUAAGAAACGAGCAUGAAAUAUCUCGGUAUACAUACUUCGUCAUAAGUAUUGACUAAUGAAAUAUGUAUCAAAAAAUUCUAAAUGAUUACUUGUUCGCGAAUACGUGUCUGACGCCUUAAAUUUACGUA